rnacentral:rRNA from 1 species
GACGUUACCUACAGAAGAAGCACCGGCUAACUCCGUGCCAGCAGCCGCGGUAAUACGGAGGGUGCGAGCGUUAAUCGGAAUUACUGGGCGUAAAGCGCAUGCAGGCGGCCUGUUAAGUCAGAUGUGAAAGACCCGGGGCGUUAACCUCGGAAUUGCAUUUGAAACUGGCAGGCUAGAGUCUUGUAGAGGGGGGUAGGAAUUUCAGGUGUAGCGGUGAAAUGCGUAGAGAUCUGAAGGAAUACCAGUGGCGAAGGCGGCCCCCCUCGGACAAAGACUGACGCUCAGAUGCGAAAGCGUGGGGAGCAAACAGGAUUAGAUACCCCUGGUAG